GCUGCUCCACUUGUCCAUUUCAGGUGUGGUGUUAGAGAGCUGUGACUUUCUCCACACCAUACACCAGUGGUUUGAUCGAACCUGUUCAUGCACUUCCGGUUUAAGUGGGACACCCAAUCAGAAAAAAACAGGGAAGAACAACAGGGAACUAAAUGGUGCCAUUAGUAGCCUACAAGGCAACAAACUAUCAAGCCAGUGAAUGUUUUCUUUUUAUUAGUCAAUAAUUUAAUUGCAAACACAAAUCUUACCAGCAGAGGUAAAUCAAAUUGUAGCCUAUCAAUCUCUCCUCAUCCCUUUAAAUAUGGCUCUUAGCUUAUGUUCUUAUCCAGUGGGACUUACAAGUACUGGGUGUUCUGGUUAUUCUGCUUUUCCCUUGGUUUUCUGUUCCCUGCCUGCCUCCCUGUGUGUGCUCUCUCUCCCUCUGCUCCAGAGCCCAGCCAACCACCCGCACCUGCACCUCAUCAGCCACCUCGUCAGUCUGCCACACCUGCCACUAGUCAACCUCAUCUCUGCCUGUAUUUCAACCCCGGUCCUCCACACCAUUCUUGCUUGAUCGUCGUUGCUCCAUACCCGGUUCACUCGCCCUCGUCCUCCGUUCAGUCGGCUGGGCUCGUCCUCCGGACCUCUCCUCUUCGGGCUUCCCCCACGGCGUCCUCCCAGUUCUCCCUUGCAUCCUCCCUUCCUUGGCCCCAGUGUUUCCCCGGCAUCCUCCUUUCCCUGCACUCCAGUCCCUCAACCCCCUUUUUUCCUAAAUAAACCUCCUUCGCUCAGA